UGCGAGUCAUAUGUUCUUCGUGAACAUGGCGUACUGCUCAGUAACACGUGGAUAACCUGCCCUUGGGACCGGGAUAACCCCGGGAAACUGGGGAUAAUACCGGAUAACGCAUAUCUGCUGGAAUGCUUUAUGCGUAAAAUGGAUUUGUCUGCCCAAGGAUGGGUCUGCGGCCUAUCAGGUAGUAGUGGGUGUAAUGUACCUACUAGCCUACGACGGGUACGGGUUGUGAGAGCAAGAGCCCGGAGAUGGAUUCUGAGACAUGAAUCCAGGCCCUACGGGGCGCAGCAGGCGCGAAAACUUUACAAUGCGGGAAACCGUGAUAAGGGGACACCGAGUGCCAGCAUCAUAUGUUGGCUGUCCAGAUGUGUAAAAUACAUCUGUUAGCAAGGGCCGGGCAAGACCGGUGCCAGCCGCCGCGGUAACACCGGCGGCCCGAGUGGUGAUCGUGAUUAUUGGGUCCAAAGGGUCCGUAGCCGGUUUGGUCAGUCCUCCGGGAAAUCUGACGGCUCAACCGUUAGGCUUUCGGUGGAUACUGCCAGACUUGGAACCGGGAGAGGUAAGAGGUACUACAGGGGUAGGAGUGAAAUCUUGUAAUCCCUGUGAGACCACCUGUGGCGA
rnacentral:rRNA from 1 species